AUUGAACGCUGGCGGCAGGCCUAACACAUGCAAGUCGAGCGGAUGAAGGGAGCUUGCUCCUGGAUUCAGCGGCGGACGGGUGAGUAAUGCCUAGGAAUCUGCCUGGUAAUGGGGGAUAACGUCCGGAAACGGGCGCUAAUACCGCAUACGUCCUGAGGGAGAAAGUGGGGGAUCUUCGGACCUCACGCUAUCAGAUGAGCCUAGGUCGGAUUAGCUAGUUGGUGGGGUAAAGGCCUACCAAGGCGACGAUCCGUAACUGGUCUGAGAGGAUGAUCAGUCACACUGGAACUGAGACACGGUCCAGACUCCUACGGGAGGCAGCAGUGGGGAAUAUUGGACAAAGGGCGAAAGCCUGAUCCAGCCAUGCCGCGUGUGUGAAGAAGGUCUUCGGAUUGUAAAGCACUUUAAGUUGGGAGGAAGGGCAGUAAGUUAAUACCUUGCUGUUUUGACGUUACCAACAGAAUAAGCACCGGCUAACUUCGUG
rnacentral:rRNA from 1 species